rnacentral:rRNA from 1 species
GACGAACGCUGGCGGCGUGCUUAACACAUGCAAGUCGAACGGAAAGGCCCUGCUUUUGUGGGGUGCUCGAGUGGCGAACGGGUGAGUAACACGUGAGUAACCUGCCCUUGACUUUGGGAUAACUUCAGGGAACUGGGGCUAAUACCGGAUAGGAGCUCCUGCUGCAUGGUGGGGGUUGGAAAGCUUCGGCGGUUGGGGAUGGACUCGCGGCUUAUCAGCUUGUUGGUGGGGUAGUGGCUUACCAAGGCUUUGACGGGUAGCCGGCCUGAGAGGGUGACCGGCCACAUUGGGACUGAGAUACGGCCCAGACUCCUACGGGAGGCAGCAGUGGGGAAUAUUGCACAAUGGGCGGAAGCCUGAUGCAGCAACGCCGCGUGCGGGAUGACGGCCUUCGGGUUGUAAACCGCUUUCGCCUGUGACGAAGCGUGAGUGACGGUAAUGGGUAAAGAAGCACCGGCUAACUACGUG